ACGAAGAUGAUUAAGAUAACUCCACCAGCAAUGCCACCUGUGAUAUAGAAGAACUCAGACUUUUCCGUACACCGUUUUCCGGUGAAACUUCCGCUGCAUCUGCAGGAUGGUUGACCUCGCGAAUCUUUAAGACAUACUCCUUCGUUAUCGCAGUAGCCCAUGCAGACAUCGGUGCACUCGGUUCCGGUUCCAUUAUAUCCUGGCUUGCACUCGCAUUUGAAGUCGCUCGUUUCCGGUAUUAGCAAGCAAUACGCGUUCGCGUCGCAGUGCAUUUCCGCGUCGCUUGUCUCGCAUGGAUUAGAUGUCCGCUUCUAACGUAUCCUGGCUCACACUCGAAUCGUACAAUUGUUCCGUAACUUCGCCCACCUCCAUUUAGGAUAGUUAUGUUCGAGUGCGGCGCUUCCGGAAGCGGAGAACACUGA
rnacentral:misc_RNA from 1 species